AGUGAACGCUGGCGGUAGGCCUAACACAUGCAAGUCGAACGGCAGCACAGUAAGAGCUUGCUCUUACGGGUGGCGAGUGGCGGACGGGUGAGGAAUACAUCGGAAUCUACUUUUUCGUGGGGGCUAACGUAGGGAAACUUACGCUAAUACCGCAUACGACCUACGUGUGAAAGCAGGGGAUCUUCGGACCUUGCGCGAUUGAAUGAGCCGAUGUCGGAUUAGCUAGUUGGCGGGGUAAAGGCCCACCAAGGCGACGAUCCGUAGCUGGUCUGAGAGGAUGAUUAGCCACACUGGAACUGAGACACGGUCCAGACUCCUGCGGGAGGCAGCAGUGGGGAAUAUUGGACAAUGGGGGCGAGCCUGAUCCAGGCAUACCGCGUGGGUGCAGAAGGCCUUCGGGUUGUAAAGCCAUGUAGUUGGGAAAGAAAAGCAGCAGGUUAAUACCCCGCUGUUCUGACGGUACCCAAAGAAUAAGCACCGGCUAACUUCGUG
rnacentral:rRNA from 1 species